rnacentral:lncRNA from 1 species
GAGUUGUACUGAAAUGAUCCCUGAAAUUUUUGUCAGUCCUGGGGAUGUUGUAAAGCACAAGAAAAUUUGCCAUAUGAAAUAGCUUUCCUCAGACAUCUGCUGCAAAGAUAGCUUGUUUAGAGCUGGUGAUGAUGGAUGAAUUUUUGACAGCCAGCUUUUGAAGUUUCCAGCUGUGUGGAGCCAGCAUUCCUCAUGGUUCAGGACAUAGAAGAAGGGGGCCCCAAAGUCUUACAGUUUGAAAGUAAGUUUCUAGUUCUGCCAAAUGUACAUUAUUUUUACAUUUCUAUGCAAUAAAAUUUAACGUAUUAAAGUAUUCUGCUUAUCACAACUUAUGAAGAAAGGCAGUAAUGCUGCAUCGUGAGAAUAAGGGCAUACCUUGCUACUAGAAUGUUCUUAGGAAGCAGGAAACCUAGAGCUUUGGUCUUCAGCACUUGAGGAAAAUAAUUGUUCCCUAACGCAAAAAGAAGCAACCAACACACCACAUGGCAAUCAUCAAAUUUAGUCAAGAAAUGACUACAGUUCUCUAGUCAAAAGUGGGUCUUGCCUGUCUGCCUGCCAGGUUUUCCUACCUUGGAUAGUUAAAAUAAACACUCUGCUAGGUUUCUCUGCUUUUCAAAGUUUUGGUUGUUCACCCUCUGUUCAAGCAAGUCUGUGUUAGACAAGUUUUUUUUUUCAUUAUUUUCCCCUUAUAGUCAAGAAGCCUUUCAUGGACACUUGAUCCAACUCAUUCAUUAUAACAAAUGAACCCAGAUGUAACACCUGCAAGAAUAUAUUUAUUCCAACUGAAUAAUCAGAUCAGUACUUUCAGUAUGAGUUCCCAUUGCUUCCAUUCUCACUGGUCACCACCGUGGAAGACAUCUCAGAACUUCAGGUUAGAGAAUCAAGAUCCACAAAUCCACUCUAUGAAGACAUCCCAUGAAAAAUAAAAUCUGGACUCAGAG